rnacentral:rRNA from 1 species
AACGAACGCUGGCGGCAUGCCUAACACAUGCAAGUCGAACGAGACCUUCGGGUCUAGUUGCGCACGGGUGCGUAACGCGUGGGAACCUGCCCUUAGGUUCGGAAUAACUCCCCGAAAGGGGUGCUAAUACCGGAUAAUGUCUUCGGACCAAAGAUUUAUCGCCUUUGGAUGGGCCCGCGUUGGAUUAGCUAGUUGGUAGGGUAAAAGCCUACCAAGGCGACGAUCCAUAGCUGGUCGGAGAGGAUGAUCAGCCACAAUGGGACUGCGACACGGCCCAGACUCCUACGGGAGGCAGCAGUGGGGAAUAUUGGACAAUGGGCGAAAGUCUGAUCCAGCAACGCCGCGUGAGUGAUGAAGGCCUUAGGGUUGUAAAGCUCUUUUACCCGGGAUGAUAAUGACAGUACCGGGAGAAUAAGCUCCGGCUAACUACGUG